AGUAGGGUUUCAGAGGAAGUGCUAAUAAAUGUAAAGAGAGAAGAUUGUUUAUGAUUCAUUGUAAUUAGAGGGCACCUGAAUAUUUGAGUCUCAAAAAAACCCGGAAUUAUAUAUGUUUCUUUAAAGAAAAAUAAGAAGUAUUGUUACAUCAAUCCCAUCAAAAUCAUGUAAUGUCUCUAACGUUUUGAAGUGUACAACCAUGAACGUCUUACUCUUAAUUCACCAACAACAAGGUGGAAUUGAAGAAAUUAAUUAUAUCUGAUAUCAUCGUACAAAAGAAUUGGUUUGUAAUUGUUUUAUUUUAUUCUAAUCAAAUUGGAUAAACUCCAAAGUAUUUUAAAACAUGGACACAUUCGCUAUGUACUUACUCUAUCCAUUUUUAAUAAAGCCAAUAAGUGUUUAUUUAUUCACUUAUUAAUACCAACGAGUAAAGAUAAUUUUAAAAUACUUAUAUAAGAAGUAAUGUAAAUGUGAUUUUAAAAUUUUAAAAAAUCAAGUAGAUAGUUCACAUCAUGCAAUCUCAGAUGUUGAAAACAACACAUUUUCUUAGUUACAAAUGUGGUUUGAACAAUUGUACACCUAUAACAUCAAGAAACAAUAAGUAUGCCUAAUUACAAUAUUAUUGUUUUUUCAGAAGGAAGAAUAUAUGGGUAAGCAUAAAAAUUUGAUCUAUUUGUACUCACAAACUCUACAGCUUCCACUACAGCCAGAA
rnacentral:lncRNA from 1 species